UGGGGAAUAUUGCGCAAUGGGCGAAAGCCUGACGCAGCGACGCCGCGUGAGGGAUGAAGGUCUUCGGAUCGUAAACCUCUGUCAGCAGGGAAGAAAUUUUAGUGUGCUAAUCAGCAUUAAAUUGACGGUACCUGCAAAGGAAGCACCGGCUAACUCCGUGCCAGCAGCCGCGGUAAUACGGAGGGUGCGAGCGUUAAUCGGAAUUACUGGGCGUAAAGCGCUCGUAGGUGGUAUGUCAAGUCAAGGGUGAAAUCCCCGCGCUCAACGUGGGAACUGCCUUUGAAACUGUUACACUUGAGUGUGUGAGAGGAUAGUGGAAUUCCAGGUGUAGGAGUGAAAUCCGUAGAUAUCUGGAGGAACAUCAGUGGCGAAGGCGACUAUCUGGCACAUAACUGACACUGAGGAGCGAAGCGUGGGUAGCAAACAGGAUUAGAUACC
rnacentral:rRNA from 1 species